ensembl:lncRNA
CAGUGGGAGAUAAGAAGGGGUUGUGGAUGUAUAUGCACAACCCAAAGUGUGCAUUGCAAAAACAAAUUGAAAUAUAAUAAAAAUAUAUUAUAAUAAUACAAUAAAUAUAAUAACAAUAUAUAUAUUAUGUAAAAUAUAUUAUAUUGAUUGAAUACUGUAUAUUUUUACAGUACAGCAUGCUGGUUUUGAGAUACUUUGAGUCUUACCCUGGUACCAGCAAGAGUAUAGGUGGGACUAUGAACAUACUGCAGAAUACUGAUUUAGUUCUUCGUAAAGGUGCGUUCACACCAAACGCGACAUUUGUCGGCCCUUCCCGUUAGGUGUGAACGCACCUUUAGCCUUACUGUGCGUUCACACCAAAUGCGAAGGGGCGACACAAUUCCAUAUAGUCAACGUAGAGGCGCUAAUCGGGAAAACAUUUAUUCGCAGAGCGACACUUUUGCCCGGCACUGGCGAGCAUUCACGAGGAUUUGCAGCGUGACACUUUCGCUCGAGUUGAAUUAUUUUAACUUUGCCGCGACAUGUGCGUGAUGACAGCCAAUCAGCGUUCAACAGCGUGGCCACUGAGUGACGUGCAUAACGUAAACGCCUCGUGCCAACUGCCUCCGUCCGUUGACUGAUCCCCAUUGACUGAAUGUGGGACGGACGCGCAAUGCAUUGUGGAUCCGUGCGCUCCGUUGGAGCCAUCGGCUCCGUCAAAAAGUUGAAAAAUGUUCAACUUUUUCGGCAGCGACGGAUCCGUCAUCCAAUCAGAUCGCGUAUGCAAAUUUAAGCACUGAGACUACUCGGGCUCUGACGACCCUGGAAAGCUCCUCCAUCCGUCAGCCACGCCUUCCGACGUCCUUUGACUGACGGUGCAGUGGGCACAGUCAGUCUUUGGCGACAACGCGAACGGCGACAAAAGUGUCUUUUGGUUUGAACGCAGCAUUAAUAAAGUAAUACAAAUGUGAUUGUUUACAUUGCGAUGACCGUGUGUUCAGUUUACGAUAAAUCAUCUGUAGUUUAAAACCUGGAAUUAAAACCUAGACUUUUUUUAUAAAAACAUCUAUAUUUUUUAAAAAUAUUAUUUGAAAUAUUUGUUUGCAAUUAUCAAUGUGGAGUGGGGCUUCCAACACCACCAUUUUCACUCAUGCCUGUAGAAACCGUGCCUGUUGACCAGAGUGCUUCCAUACACAACAGCUAGGCUUGUGUCAGGGGAGGGAGUGAUCGGGGUUUUAAGUGCAGUUCUACUGAUUUCAUUGUCUACACGGGUGCAAAAAGAGUAUUUAUACUAAAAGUCACCAUUAUCCAUUCGUUAAAGGUUCACUCUGCUGAGAAUAACAAUGGCUGCUAUGGCAUCUUUACCUUUUCAUUUUAAGUUGCACAGACUCAUUCAGCCAUUCACUGGCUGUUUGACCCUAUUGCUCUGAUUCCUUUGUGCGAGACCUAUGCAGUAAGCGAUCGAAAUGUAAUAAUUGUCAAUGUUAUUGUGAGAUCUUACAAGGAAAGCGUUCUUGAUCUCAAGAUGUGUGCUGUGUUCAGACAUGCGAUGGUGUCUCCAUAAGACCAACUGUUUGGGUUGCGUUGACCUGUGUCGUCAAGCGUAACCUCGAUCUCGGUUCUAUUUUUAUACAUGCCUUUUGAUACCUCCAGAGUUUCUCAACGUGAUUUUUUGUUUGUUGUUUUUUCAUUUAAAUUAAAGACCUUUAUCUGUGAUGGGGAAGGAAAGUGUGUGUUGGUUGUUUUGUGUGUGUGUGUGUGUGUGUGUGUGUGUGUGUGUGUGUGUGUGUGUGUGUGUGUGUGUGUGUGUGUGUGUGUGUGUGUGUGUGUGUGUGUGUGUGUGUGUGUGUGUGUGUCCGUGUCCCACCCCUUUGGGAAUCACUAGGGGUCGCUAGGCUACCUGACCUCUGGGAGCCAUACCUCCUACCUCUAGGGCACCAUGGCAACAGAUGGGGGGGGAGGAAGAGAGAAUACAAGACGGAGGAGGAAGAGAAGAGGAUGAGAGGAGAGGAAUAAGAGGAGGAGGACUGAGGAGAGGAAAGGAGGAGAGAGGAGCAGAUGGGACCGCUAUGUUGACGUACAUUAGUGUCUCCCUCUACCUGUCAGAGAGAGAGAGAGAGAGAGAGAGACUUCUAAGCUGAUUUAAGUCAUUGGACUUUACUUUCGUUUUCAUGUCAAUUUCAUAAAAUUGCAUUUAUUUUAUACUCAGGCUCUGAAAUUAUAGUUAAAUAAAUAUAGAUAUGUAGAUCUAUAUACACAGACAGACAGACACAGAGGGGAAAGAAAGAAAGGGGGCUUAGGGGGCAUUCAAACAGCACCACUUAGAGGCUGUUGGCUAGCAUGUUUGAAGCUAGUGGCUGUUAUGUAAACAGGCUUCUGUGUCGAUUAGCCAUAUUGGAUUUGCCUCUCUCUCUCUCGUAGUGUAAGUGCACGUGGCCCGCCACACGGGCCCGUGCACAUGAUGCUCUCUGCGCCAGGAGUGCACACGUGGGACCCUUACUGUACAACUGGUGUGUGUUUGUGUGGAUGCAGUUUGGAGGGGGAUGUGUGUUUGUGAGGGAAGGGGAUGUCUGUGUGUGUUGUGUGUGUGGGUGUCCAUAUGGUUCUCUUGGCAUAGCACUCUGGUUCAGAUGAUGGGAUUAUAAAGGAUUCAAACAAUCCACUGUAUGGGAUCCAGGAGAGAGAGAGAGGGGGAGAGAGAGAGAGAGAGAGAGAGAGAGGAGAGAGAGCUCUUAGUGAGACCUUAUCAUUCUCCCCAUCCAUUGACUGGCAUUACAUAACGACGAGUGAUUAUCAUAAUCUAGAUACUAGAAAACCUAUAUUGGGUGUUAUAGUAGUGGCCAGGGCGUUUGAAAGAUACCGGGUUCGAUACCCUUAUGUCCGCAGCCAAACCUGUAGGCAGCCUAUAGGGUAAGACUGAAAGGCAUGGAUCUGAUUUCACUUUAAGUGGCUUUGGUUAGAGUCUGAUAAAUGACUAAACAGUCUGAAAGUGAUACUAGUCUCAACCUCCUACUAUGUUUUAUGUGUGAGAAUAUUUUUGUGUGUGUGCGUGUGUGUGUUUGCGUAGAUAGUGAGGCUUUGUAUCCAUGUAUGUAUGUGUGUUUGUGGAUAUGUGUGUGCGUUUGUGUGUGGAUAUGUAUGUGUGUGUGUGUGUUGAUAUAUAUGUAUGUGAACGUGUAGAUAUGUGUGUGUGUGUGUGUGUGUGUGUGUGUACACGCAUGCAUGUAUGCAUGCGGUGUGUGUGUGUGUGAUUGAAGUGUCAGACGAUUGUCCUUGUAACCACGCACAUGAAAAACCACACACACACACACACACACACACACACACACACACACACACACACACACACACACACACACACACACACACACACACACACACACACACACACACACACACACACACACACACACACACCCCAAGUGCCCCCAGUGGGUCCUCAGCUAUAUGGUCUCCUAUCAGGUAGUGCUGAAAUGCGAGUCACACACAUUAAUAAAUGACCAGUGUUCCGGGACAUUCCGGGGUCCCCACGAGGUGGGGAGGGAUGGAGGGAGAGAAAGGGGAGGCACGAGGUGUGUGAGAGAGAGAGAGAAGUGGGG